CCGGCAAGCACGGGGGCAACCCUGUGGCGAGUGGCGAACGGGUAGUAAUACAUCGGAACGUGUCCUGUAGCGGGGGAUAACCUCUCGAAAGAGAGGCUAAUACCGCAUACGACCUACGGGUGAAAGAGGGGGAUCGCAAGACCUCUCACUAUAGGAGCGGCCGAUGUCGGAUUAGCUAGUUGGUGGGGUAAAAGCCUACCAAGGCUACGAUCCGUAGCUGGUCUGAGAGGACGACCAGCCACACUGGAACUGAGACACGGUCCAGACUCCUACGGGAGGCAGCAGUGGGGAAUUUUCCGCAAUGGGCGAAAGCCUGACGGAGCCAUACCGCGUGGGGGAGGAAGGCUCUUGGGUUGUAAACCCCUUUUCUCUGGGAAGAAAGUGUGAAAGCAACCUGACGGUACGAGAGGAA
rnacentral:rRNA from 1 species